CCCUCCGGGGUGCAGCAGGGGAUCGAGUAUGUCGCGUUGGUGCUCGAAAAUGGCGGAGUUCUGCUUUCAUCCAAAAGCCUGAUGGUCAUGGCUUCACCUCUCAAGGUGCCGGUGGUGAGGGUGACUGGUAUGAGAUGCGCUUUGUGCGCUGGCUUGGUGGAUGGAUUUGUUAGAGGGUUACCGCUUGUGGAGAUUGCCAAACGCGCGACGGCAUUCCGAGCGGCGUAUAUGUCCAGCAAGGAUUACGAUACGAUCCAACCUGAGGACUUGGAGGAAUUGAUGCACAAGGUGGAGAUCCGUUCCAUCCCAAUGCUUUAAAGGGCUGGCGGAUCACUUUAUUCCGACCAAAACGUCCCAGACAUUAUCAUCAUAGCAAUCAGCCGCAAACUCGCCCCGAGCGCGUCCUGUUUGGCGGGGGGGC
rnacentral:rRNA from 1 species